rnacentral:rRNA from 1 species
GGGUUAGUCGGGACCUAAGCUGAGGCCGAAAGGCGUAGGUGAUGGACAACAGGUUGAUAUUCCUGUACUACCGAUAACCGUUUGAGAGAAGGGAUGACACAGUAGGAUAAGCUAAGCACACUGUUGGGUAUGUGUGCCCAAGCAUUGAGGCAGUCAAAGUAGGCAAAUCCGCUUUGAUAAUGCUGGGAUGUGAUGGGGAGCGAAAUUUAGUAGCGAAGUAGCUGAUUUCACACUGUCAAGAAAAGUCUC